GUAUUGGCCUACCGUGGCUAUGACGGGUAACGGGGAAUUAGGGUUCGAUUCCGGAGAGGGAGCCUGAGAAACGGCUACCACAUCUAAGGAAGGCAGCAGGCGCGCAAAUUACCCAAUCCUAAUACAGGGAGGUAGUGACAAGAAAUAACAAUACAGAGCCUUACGGUUUUGUAAUUGGAAUGAGUUAAGUAUAAACCCCUUAACAAGUAUCAAUUGGAGGGCAAGUCUGGUGCCAGCAGCCGCGGUAAUUCCAGCUCCAAUAGCGUAUAUUAAAGUUGUUGCAGUUAAAAAGCUCGUAGUUAAUUUUCUGUUAAUUUUUAUAUACAAUGCUACGGUAUUUAUAUAAUAUUAACAUAAUUCAUAUUACUUUUUAGUAUAUGAAACUUUACUUUGAGAAAAUUAGAGUGCUUAAAGCAGGCUAUUGCCUUGAAUACUCCAGCAUGGAAUAAUAUUAAGGAUUUUUAUUCUUCUUAUUGGUUCUAGAAUAAAAAUAAUGAUUAAUAGGGACAGUUGGGGGCAUUUGUAUUUAA
rnacentral:rRNA from 1 species